GGAUAUUUUCCUUGGUUGACAAUUGGCUAUGGAUUUGGUCUUUUCCUCACAUACCUAGGUUUAUAUCUAAUGGAUGGGCAUGGUCAACCUGCACUCCUCUAUCUUGUUCCAUGUACCCUAGGUGUUUGUGUGAUAUUGGGUCUGGUGAGAGGAGAGAUAAAAGAACUCUGGAGCUUUGGUGCUGAAACUUCCUCAUCAUCUGGAGAUGCUCCUGGGGAAGCUUGAAGCUGUAAAUCAGUGACUUCUUAGAAAAGU
rnacentral:misc_RNA from 1 species